AUAGUAUACAGAUAAAUCAAUGACUCAAAAUAACAAGCAUCAUUAUAUAAGAACAUUUUAUAGAAUAAACAUAGCAUGUUAUCUAUAUAAAACACAUGAGCAAGCUUUAAAUAACAUGCAGAAUAUGAACAAACCUCUUCUUCUUUUUUUAACCUCUAAACGGACAAAAAAGAAUCCACAAAAUUUGAAGAAAUUUCCAGAUCUCGUCUUAUCUAACUUCAUGUAGAGAGAUUAAGAAAAAAUUGAGGGUUAGUAGAGAAUAAAUCAAAAAGAACCAAAACUUAGAUCUGGACACAAUCGGUAAGAACCAUAUGCAUGAUACUUAUGGAAGUAUACAUGGGAAGAAAUAGAAGAAGACAACGAUAAAUAAUCGAAAACCCAGGACUGAACUUACAAGAUUCGUUGGCGAAUACCAGAUUGGAGAGGAGGAGAACGAAUUAAAACUUCUCUCGCAAACGGCGACGAGAGGAAAAAAAAGAUUAGCAGCUAUAUAAAACACAUACAAAAAAGUAUAAAACAAAUGCAAACAAAUGAAAUAACAGAGUACUUAAUGGCAGACCAAAAGGUAUAAAAGCAUGAAAUUUAAAAUGAAAACAUAGUAUAAAGAGAAACCAAUGAGUCAAAAUAACAAACAUCAUUAUACAAGAACACAUUAUAGAGUAGACAUAACAUGUUAUCUAUAUAAAAUACAUGAACCAACUAUAAAUAACAUGCAAAAUAUGAACAAACCUCUUGUUUUUAAACAAAAACCCUAGACGGACGAAGCAGAAUCCACAUAGUUUGAGAAAAUUCCCAGAUCUCGCCUUAUCUAACUUCAUGUAGAGAGAUUAAGAAAAAAUUGAUGGUUAGUAGAGAAUAAAUAAAAAAGAAUCAAAACUUAGAUCUGGACACAACCGGUAAAAACCCUAUGCAAGAUACUUAUGGAAGUAUAUAUGGGAAGAAAUAGAAGAAGAUAGAGAUAAAGGGGAAAAAGAACCAAACUUUAGAUCUGGCCACAAUCGUUAAUUUUUAUGCAAUUGAAGUAUAAAGGGGAAGAAAUAGAAGAAGAUCGGCGAUAAAUAAACGAAAAUCAAUGGCUUACCUUACUAAAUUCGCCGGCGAAAGGAGAAUCAUAAAUUAAUACUUGGAUUGCUAACGGUGACGAGAACGAGAAGAAGGUUUGAAAGAGACAAUCAAGUUCUGGGCUUGAUUGAAGAAGAUGAGAAACGCAAUCGCCAACGACGGCACUAGGUUUUGGGAGGAUAUUUUGCAGUGUGAAGAAAAAACACGAUUUUUAUUUUCACAUAGAUUACUCUUGAUAUGAGAGAAUGAAUAUAAUGAUAGCUUCCGAAUAUUUCAAAUUUCAAACCCAGAAUCAUACGCUCCCCAAACAGUGUCUUGUCGCUUUGAUGUCUAAGGUUAUACAUGUAAGAAUACAUGGGUUUCCGACAUAACUCUGUAGCUCAUGGCUAUUUCCUUAAUUCUUUUUGAAUCCAUGGCUAUUUAGUGUAUAUACUCUACUAACUAACCUUUGACAACAAAAGAAUAAAGAGAAUAGCCUUUAACGAAUAGUAUGAGAGAAAAAAAAAACAUUUGCACUUUAUUUAUGACACUUUUACCCUAAAUAAAAGUCAAACCUUCGUUUUUCCUUCUUCCAUCUCUUUCUCUUUCUAUUUCUUAUUUCGACAAAUUACAUCUCUAUUUUCUACCAUUGUGCCUUAUUCUUUGAUUUCUCAAACCAUCAUCACCUUCUCCAUAACCACCUCCAUUACAACAACCACCACAAGCUCUAGUAGAUCAUUUGACUAUAGCCGUUAACGGUGUUGUUUUUCAUCAAUUUGGGAUUCAGUGGUUCAACCAUUGAGCUCUUCUGUUUAUUUGGUCUAUAUAGGAUUUAGCUAUUUCCGAUAUCGUUUCUUUUUAGAAUCUGAGAUUUGCCUUCACCCUCAAGAGUUCAAGGUUUCCUUUCAAUGUUAUGUUAUCAUUUCAUAUAUCAUGUUAUUUUUAUAUUAGGCAUGUAAUUUUUCUAAAAACAUUGUAUUUAUUUAAAAUGAUCUGCACCUUUUAAAUAAUUCAUGUCAUCUAUUGUAAUCACGUAUCUUAUCUAUACCCAUCCGAACAAUAAGAUAUGUUUCUUUUGAAUAAUGCAUGUUCAUUUUAAAUUAGACAUGCAUUUUCUACAAAUACUUUGUAUUAUUUUAAUAGAUCUAUACCUUUUAAAUAUUUCAUGUUCUCUACUGUAAUCUUAUUCAUACCUAUCCAAACAAUAAGAUGUAUUUCUUCUGAAUAAUGCAUGUUCCUUUUAUAAUUGUCAUGUAUUUUUUUAAUAGAA
rnacentral:sRNA from 1 species